CAGAAAAGAUCAACUACUAGAACUUGACCCUAAAGAUGAAACUAGUAAAUAAAACGUCUACACGUCACCAUCUCUACUUUGGAGUCGCCCAAGCGUCCAGUUGUUUUACAAGGUGUUUAUUCUAUUUUUAUGAUUUAUUUUGAUUAUUUUGGACUAUUUUGAAUUUAUUUAACGUAUUAAAAAUUAUACAAUUAUUUAAAUGACGCUCACAGGUUUUAAUUAUUAUAUGCUUUACCAAAUUUUAAGAAUUUUCUGUCAUACUAUCAGUCUCUUGGAAAAAAAAUUUUUCCGACACAAAAUAAUUUUUGCUAAAAAUGCCUGUUAGCGUUCAGUUAAAAUAUAUUAUAAAUUAGUUUGUAAGUUCUAUGUUAUUUCAAUUAAGUUCUAUGUCGAAUUAGGCACAAGAGUGCCGCUUUAUCUUAAGAUUUAUUAUAUAAACACAUACAAGUCCAAGUGGUAAGAGUCCAAGGGGUCGAUAGGGUCUUGCGUCAGCGGGAUUCGAGAUCGUUGACAAAAAGACAGAAUCACCACGAGCCUUGGUGUAAACGGUCACAUUUGAUAUUCCUCAUUUUCAGUGACAAAUACAGUGUGUUUUUAAUUUUU